AUGUCGAGUGGCGGACGGGUGAGUAAUGCUUGGGAACUUGCCUUUGCGAGGGGGAUAACAGUUGGAAACGACUGCUAAUACCGCAUAAUGUCUUCGGACCAAACGGGGCUUAGGCUCCGGCGCAAAGAGAGGCCCAAGUGAGAUUAGCUAGUUGGUGAGGUAAAGGCUCACCAAGGCAACGAUCUCUAGCUGUUCUGAGAGGAAGAUCAGCCACACUGGGACUGAGACACGGCCCAGACUCCUACGGGAGGCAGCAGUGGGGAAUAUUGCACAAUGGGGGAAACCCUGAUGCAGCCAUGCCGCGUGUGUGAAGAAGGCCUUCGGGUUGUAAAGCACUUUCAGUUGUGAGGAAAAGUUAGUAGUUAAUACCUGCUAGCCGUGACGUUAACAACAGAAGAAGCACCGGCUAACUCCGUGCCAGCAGCCGCGGUAAUACGGAGGGU
rnacentral:rRNA from 1 species